UCUUCAAUAGAACUCCCAUCUUAGUAAAUUUACCCCCUAGUGUGAAAACUUACCUCUCCAGGGCCCCAAUCCUCCUCAUUAGCUUGGCCUUCUGACCUCUUCAUUUAUUAGGAUUGGAGGGGUAUACUCAUGGAUCUUAAUGUGUUUUUUAUUUUAUUUUUUUUAUUAGAAACUAGACCAAGCUAUUUAGCUCUGCAACUGAUUGAGAUAUUUAAAUGGAACCUUCAAAUGAAUGGAGCUCCACAGCAUUGUUAAUACUUUUUUCAAAUAAUCACAUUUGUGAUUGGCUGGUACAAAAAGAGAGUCCCUGCUCUGAUCAUCUAGAGGACCACAUGUUAUGGAGGAGAGUAGCUGAGGAAUAACCACAUUUUUUACAAUUGCCCGUUUCAUCAUGAACAAAGUGACGCCUCUGUCCUUGGGAUAUAUAUACACUCUAUAAAUCGUCUUAAUGUGUUUCUUGCAAUGAAGAUGAGCGAAGAAUACGAAGUGUUCUAUCAUAAUAUUGAAAUAAAGUAUUAGAUUGAAGUAA